UGGGGAAUAUUGGACAAUGGGCGAAAGCCUGAUCCAGCCAUGCCGCGUGAGUGACGAAGGCCUUAGGGUUGUAAAACUCUUUCGUCGGGGACGAUAAUGACGGUACCCGAAGAAGAAGCUCCGGCUAACUUCGUGCCAGCAGCCGCGGUAAUACGAAGGGGGCUAGCGUUGUUCGGAAUUACUGGGCGUAAAGCGCGCGUAGGCGGCUUUGCAAGCCAGAGGUGAAAUGCCUGAGCUCAACUUGGGAAUUGCCUUUGGGACUGCGAGGCUUCGAGGACUGGAGAGGUGAGUGGAAUUCCCAGUGUAGAGGUGAAAUUCGUAGAUAUUGGGAAGAACACCAGUGGCGAAGGCGGCUCACUGGCCAGUUUCUGACGCUAAAGUGCGAAAGCGUGGGGAUCAAACAGGAUUAGAUACCCAAGUAGUCCCUGAGCGGGCUGGCAAGGCGCAU
rnacentral:rRNA from 1 species